ACCACCUAGCUCAGAACUGGUGGCUGGCGGCAGCUCUCCAAGAUUUGAGAAUGGGACAUAACUGAAGAUGCCAGGGAUUGAACCUAGAAUCUUACUCAUGCAAAACAGAUGUUCUACCAUUCGGCUAUGCCCCUUCCCCUAAUGUCUACUAAAAUGGUGGUGUCUGAUUCUUAGGUCUCUGCUUACGGCAAACUUACCAGGUUAGCUAGUAGUCUGUUAGUCUGCCAAUUAUAGUUAUAUACAUAUAUAAUUCUAAUUUGAUUACAUGUGUCGCAUCCGGUCUCUCUUAACAGCAAAACCCUUUUAUUCAUUAGUGAAUAUGGCACUGAAAUUCUUCGCUAGUGGGAAAGAGGCAAAGAAUUUAAUUAACUCAGCAAGUAAAAUGCAUGCAGCGACAAUGAAGUAAAUUCAGAGAAAAUAAAAUUCUAAUAGAAUUUUUUUGUGGUACUGUGAAAAAACAUAAUGGAAGUUGAUUUGAUUUAGAGAUUUCAAUAAACUCAGAAAUAAUGGCCUUGUUAGGAAUUUGUCACUAGGAAAAAAAGAAAUAUUUUGAUGCUACACUUUGGAGAGACAUGAAUAGCUCAUCUCACACAAAUUAAAUUUGGACCUUUAAUAUAUAUUUUUUAUUUUAAAAGUGCAAGUAUUUUGCUCAUAAAAACAUUUAUAGUUUUAAUUCAGCUGAGGAUUGUGUUUGUGUGAUACACCACACACUGAUCGAAAAUAAAAGGACAGCAAAUAAAUCAAAAGGCAGCACAACUGAAAGUGGUUAAAUUCUGUUAACAAGUAAUUAAAUGUACGGCAGCGAGAGCAAAGAUGGUGGGUUACUCUUCUUGUGAUGACCAAUGAUUUUCAGCUAAUAAAUUUGACUAACUGACUUGAUUUGAUCCUUAACAGGCACCAGAUUUUGUGCAAGAUGUGACAUUCUUAGACAGCUGGCAAAGGGUUACCACAAUGCUAUCAAAUGAAAUAUCUGACUGGAAAAUUGCCCAGAAGACACUUCCCUGCUUUCUACAACAUGGUGUGCAGGUUGUCCUGGGUGGGGUAGAGAUCCUUUUGAAGCAAAUGUAUAAACACAAAUUACCAAACACACAUCUGUAUAUGUCAUUACCUUUAACAGAAAUAGUUCCUGUCCAAGCAAGGUUGACUUGCCUAUUACCUUAUUAAGCUGAAAUUGCUCAUAGAUUUGCAUAAGAAAUAGGGAACUAUUUCAUGUGGCAGCUUGUUUGGAUACCAUUUUAAUAGUGUGUAUCUCAGCAAUUUGCCUUUGACAACAAAAAUAAUAAUAAAUGUUGUUUACAGCAAAGUCUAGAUUAUCCUGUAACCUUAAAUGCCAGUGGAUGAAAGACUUUGACCUUGUACUAUUGAAUUAGGUAGACUUUUGUCCAUGCAUGUUUCUGUGAACAGACACACUUUCUCCUCAAAAUUGCCAGUGACAUUUUUUAUUGAAAUAGGUCAAUUAUUUCUUGUUAAAAAACAAACAAUCAAGCAGAACACUUGUAUUUCAUGAAAUCCAUUAGUGCUAAGUUGUUGGUUUUUUUGUGGGGGGUGUUUGUUUGUUUGUUUGGGUUUUUUUUUUUGCUAUCAAUGAAAGUGGAAUGUUUUUCAUAAAUGUAUUAUAAGGUUAUAGGUGCUCAAUAGGUCAGGAAAAAAAAUAAGUACAAUGGCUUCAUUGAAUUAUGUGAACAAAUAGCAAUUAAGGAAACAAAACCAACAAAAUACAUAGAUACUUUUGAUAUAUGUUUAGAGACAGUCAGUGUUGGUUAUCUAGAGUGUGUCUGAGGGUGAGUGAGAAAGACAAAGAGAAUUUAAUGCAUCUAUUGUUAUUUGAUGGUAUAGAAACACUAUAGAAUACCAGAUUCUACCUUUAACUGUACUAAUUAGAAGUGUGUUGUUGUUACUGUUACUGUUACUGUUACUGUUACUGUUACUGUUACUGUUAUUUUGGGGGUGUUAAAAUUAUCUGAUCAGUCAUAGAUUGGGUGAGCAAAAGAAAUUGCUUUGAACUGUUCAGGACAGCUUGCUUUCCUCAAAAGUUUUGAAGACACCCCUUCCCCUGAAAGCAGGAGAAAAUUAGUCCCUUUUUUCAGGGGGGAAAUAUGGUACUUUUGGAAAAGUAUGGAGGGAAGUUUCUGCCAACCUUGGAACCAAUUCCUUAAGAGGGGCGAUGGCUCCUGCCUCCCUAUCCCUACCCUCCUUCUUUGUGGCCAAAUUAAAGUACUUUUUCAGUUCUUCUAAAGGUAAAAUCGGUUAUCUGGCUUGCCACCUCCCUUUAUUUGGAAAACCACUAACAAGGAGUCCAGGUGGCACAGAAAAACCUUGGGGGAGUUGUAUGCAGCUUGUGUACUGAAGGUUAGCUGUUCCUUUAUUAGGGCUGGGGUCUAAUCUCAGUGGCAGAAUUUCCAGAUAAAAAGUGGUGAGGUGACUCUGACUGAAUCCUUGGAGAGCUACUGCAAGUCAAUGUAGGCCAGGAGUGACCAGUGAGCUUCCUUGGAAUAAUAUUCCAUAAUUGGGGUCCUGCAACUGAGGAGGGCCUCUCCCCAGUUGCCACACACUUCACUUUUGUCAGGGACUGUGCUGAGGAGGGCUGCACUGUAAUGGUGGCAGCCUUCCCCUUCUCCUGCUCCUGAAUGGCUUGCAGAGGGGCAUAGUUCAGAAGGCAGAAGCUGGGAAAUACUGGAUGGGGAACAGCUAGGAAAAAAACACUGGGAGAGAGAGGUUUAACAGAUUUACAGUCUCUGGAUAGCAUUUCUCCGCUCAGCCCAAGGUCGAGAAGUGCGCAGAAAGUCUCAGUACAGAAAGCACAGAGGGUACAAGCUCAGAUUACAAGACAUAGGAGUGAAAUAGAUCAAUAGGGACUGGAGGGGUGUAAGCCUUAAUUGGGAGUACCGCCAUUCUGGGUUGACACUUUUUGUCCUUUGCUGUUUUUAUUAGAGAAAAUAACUGGUAAGAAUUCCUUUAGUUUGAUCUCCUCAUAUAUGGCCAUGGGAGAGGAAGUCAAUUCAAGGAAGCCUGACAACUUUGCAUACUCACAAGGCUAUGGGAAGCACUCAAACUGCAUGCUUACAAAGGUCUUGAAGUUCUGUGAAUGAAGUUACUUCAUUAGUAACAAAAACCUCAAUGCUUGUCAAGUCCCAGUGGCACAACUGCUUGUGCUAACUCAAAUAUUUUGUUUCAGAUUAUUGUAGCAGCAAUGAGAAAAUGGUCCAGUCUGAAUGGUAAAUUUGUUUCGGAUGAAAAUCAAAAGCAGAAUCCUUGCUGACCUGCUAAAUGUGUGCUACACCUUUCUAUUUAAAAGCUAUCUGCAGUCAUGAUGUCUGUUUAUUUUUUCAGAAGAUAUGCUCAAGACCAUAUUGAGCAGCGUACAUAUUCAUACUGCUAAAUCCAAAAUGGGAUGCUUCUGCCUUUGAUAGAAGUGCAUAAUUCCACCAUGGGUGAUAAAUCAGCCAAGAUCUAUCUGUGCAAUCCAUCACACAGAUGCAACAAAUUCACACUAAAUGAUAGCUUAGUUCAAAAACUAAUAUGAGAGCUUUUGGGAUCACAUGUCUCAUUCAUAAAUCUUUAGGCACAUCAUAACUCCUUUAUGAAAAACCAUAUAAAAGGAAGAAAAUUUCAAAUGCAUUAUCUCAAGACUUCAUAAAUAUUUAGGCUGCAAUGCUAUCACACUUAUUUAGAAUUAAGUCCCACUGAAUUCAAUGAUACAUUCUCUCAAAAUAUGGGCUAUAAACGGGUGUCUACUUAGGAAGUUGUAGGUAUUUAUGGAAGGGAAAAAAUAGUGCCCAGUGGCACCCCAUAGCAAAGCAUAACUACUGAAGCCCCCCUAAAGCAUUCUCCUAGUCAUGCUUUCUGGACCCGGUUCCAUAGCCAGGGCUGGAAUUACUAGAACACAGUGUCCCGAAUUCCUAUUCCACAGAGCCAGUACAGGAAGAAGCUGAUCAAUGGUAUCAAAAGUUGCAAAGAGACUGAGAAGCAAGAGCAAGGCCACACUCCCCUUGUCAUGCUCUCUGUAAAGGUCAUCCCAGCACAACUAGAAGCAUCAUAUUAGAUAUGGGGAAGAAAUGGUGAAUCUACCUAAUCUGCGCUUUCUGAGACAAUGUGUGAAAUGAGGCACAGCUGUUCUUUGAAAUUCACACUUUCCUGAAUUUUUCAAAGCAGUUUUGCAACCAAGCAAUAUGUACAAAAAUGCACAUAGUCGGGUGCAUACAAAAGCAUGUAUGUGUGAAAAAAAGCAUACAAAAUGCAUUCUAUUAGGGGGGAAAUGCUUGUGGAAGCCAUAUGUACCAGAAAAAAUUGGCACAAAAAUGGUGGUGAAUUUUCAUGGGAACUUUAAAAACCCACAAGCUGAUAUGGAAAUAUGGAUGACUGAAUUUAAGGUUGGAAAAAUGAGGCACUAAUAAAACAAAAAUUGAAAAGCUGAACAUCCAGCGUGGCUUCCACGGCUUCCAAUUGGCUGCAGGACACUCCUGCAGCCAAUCGGAAGCUGCGCCUUGGUUUCUGAACAUUUCGGAAGUCAAACGGACUUCUGGAAUGCAUUCUGUUCAAAAACCAAGGUACAACUGUAUUCACCUAAAGGUUUUCAGCAAAGGUUUUCUGUGGGGAAGGAAUUCCAGUUUUGGGGUUAAUGUAACACUUUAGAACAUGGGUAGGGAAACUAAGGCCCGGGGGCCGAAUCCGGCCUAAUCGCUUUCUAAAUCCAGCCCGCGGACGGUCCAGGAAUCAGUGUGUUUUUACAUGAGUAGAAUGUGUGCUUUUAUUUAAAAUGCAUCUCUGGGUUAUUUGCGGGGCCUCCCUGGUGUUUUUACAUGGGUAGAAUGUGUCAUUUUAUUUAAAAUGCUUCUCUGGGUUAUUUGUGGGACAUAGGGAUUUGUGCAUUAUUAUUUUUUUCCAAAAUAUAAUCUGGCCCCCCACAAGGUCUGAGGGACAGUGGACCGGACCCCUGUUGAAAAAGUGGAGGAUUCCCAUUGCAGAAGCUGUACUCAUAUAUCACAGGAUAUCUGGGCAUGAUGCAAAGUGAAGUACGAACAAGUUGACCACUGUUUCAUUUUCUCAUAACUCCUCUGGGUCUUCAUUCUUCAGUAGGGUCAUGAUAAAACUUGCAACCUCCACAAGCAAGCAGGCAGAGUCAUGGCUCUCCCCUGGUGGCUUCUGCCACCGCCUUCCAUUGGGAUGCCCUAGUGGCCCAAGUGCCAGAAGGAGGUAUAAUUCGCUGAGAAAGUCACCUACCUGGGGGGCGAGGCCAUGCUUGAAGGGCGAAAAACACAACAAUACCUUGACCACAGGUGGCCAUGCAGGUCAUUAUAGGAAACCUUAUUGCAACCACCUUUGCUACUCUGCCUUGUCUGGACCAAAAGGAUGUGGAGGUGCUGGAAGCCACACCUUCAAAUGAAGUUCAGGGCUGGAAGGAUGGAAUUUGUGGUGGAUUCCGGCAGUUUCACAAAUAGUAUAACCACAAUGUGUCUCUCCACCCCACCCCCUUGCAGCAAGCUAGCUUAUUAUGAAGGCUUUCAAAAGAGGCACCAUGCUAGGUAACUGGGAGAUUUCCUGUUCUGCAUAAGUGGAUAAUAUUUCAAGGUGGAGACCAGAAUAUUUUUGCUAAUUUUAACACUGAGAGUUUCCGGGAAAUGGUUCCCUGCUUGCUUUUAGACUCUCCUGUCCAUGAUGAUGAUUCUGUUUCAAUAAUAAAAUAUAUAAAAAGUUAAAAAUAAAUCUUGCAGUUAGGAUAUAUAAAGUAGUCAUCCCAAUUACUAAAAAUUAUACUUAUGCUGCUUAAUUCUGCAUUUCAGUAGUGUUUAAUAUGUUUAAAGUUGCUGCUCCUCUAUAGUGUCAUUCUUUUCUCUUUUUUUGUACUUCUUAUCCUAAACCAGUGUUCUUCGGCCUCAAAUCUGUGGAUGUUGGGAUUACAAUGCUCACCAUCCCUGACCACUGGCUAAACCAACUGGGGAUGAUGGGAACUGCAGUCCUUCUACAGACCCAAAGCUGAAGAGCCAUGUCCUAAGUCAUGCUUGAUAAAUAUUGCCAUUUGAUUUGUGAUGAUAAUUCCCAUGAUUGUGUUUGGUGAAAUUUUUGACUGCAGCAUUAUCACUAAAUAAGGUAAGCCACUCCAGUCAAUCAGAUUGAAUGUGAGUGUGGGAAAAUAAGCCUGAGCACAUUGGGAUCAGGGAGAACAUAGGACUACAACUGAUUGAAACUAAGAAUGCCUGCAUUUGGAUAUCCUGAAAAACUAUUAUUUAUUGUGAUGUGAAUGAAACUAGCCUCCUCCAGACUCACAUGUUUCCCUUUCCUCUUUUCCUCCAGUGGGACCACCGGAAUUUUUACUUCCAAUUUUGAUUAACAGAAGGUCAGAGUUAAGUCCCCACCCCAAAGUGUGUGGUAAAGCUAAAUUAUUGUUUGCUUGAAACAAACCAGCUUCACAAACCAUGGGUUGAAGUUGGCUUGUUUCAAGCAAACCAUAAUUAAGAUUAACUACAAUUAGUCCAUAAUUAAGAUUAACUGCAAUCUGGAUGACCUAGCAAACUCUCUUUAGUACAGUGGUACCUCAGGUUACAUACGCUUCAGAUUACAGACUCCGCUAACCCAGAAAUAGUGCUUCAGGUUAAGAACUUUGCUUCAGGAUGAGAACAGAAAUCGGGCUCUGGCGGCACAGCAGCAGUGGGAGGCCCCAUUAGCUAAAGUGGUGCUUUAAGGUUAAGAACAGUUUCAGGUUAAGUACAGACCUCCAGAACGAAUUAAGUACUUAACCUGAGGUAGCACUGUAAAAGAAAAGAGAAAGAAAAAAAGGGAAACCUUUUAAACUCCUCCAUGUGGGUGCACUAGGCAAAGAGUUGAGAAGGGUGUGUGUUUGAAUCUGAGGGGCACAAGCGGGUCUAGGCUCAUUCCUGAGGCAAUAAAUUGCAAUAAACAUGGACAUUUAGAAAUACAACAUGCCUUUCUGAAGCGCUGGGAGAUGCUCUCUGACACUCACAAAAAUAAACAUAAAAGCAAGCAAGCAAUUUUAGCUCAGCCCCGGAUUUGAGCUGUUUGCUGCAGUUAAGGUCUUGUACUAAUCUGCACGCUGCCAACUUGCUGUCUAACUUUGCUUUGCAGGUAGGAGAUGCAAAAGAUUAAAUUCCUGAAGCAGCAAGCUGUGAGAUGUUGGCGACCAGAUGGGGGAACUUGACAUGAAUGAUGUACACAAUGUAAUAUAACCCCAGACAUCUGAAGCUCCUGCAGUACUUAGACUCAACUGGGUGAGUCAAAGUCACAAAAGGGUAAUCCUUGCCCAUGAUAUAGUACUGUGAGAGCUGCCUGCUCAGGUCUAUAAGCAAUGAUUAUAACCCAUGUGAUUUAUUUUCCCUUCAGUCAGCAUAAAAAAACAGCUUAUUGAUUUCUUUCUCUCCCCACUGCCCCUACCCAUAUUGCUGAUUAUUAUGUAGCAAUUUCCUAACCUCUUCCCAGUUCAGCAGAGAAUACUUACUAUUUGCUAAAUUGAUAUCCCACCUUUUUCUUUAUAGAUUUAAUAAGUAUUCUCUCUUCAUAUACCUCAUAAGGAUGGUCUCUCUCUCCUCAAUUAUCUGUUUUGCUCAUGCAUUCCGUUUGUGGAUGAUGUAAAACAAAAUGAUUGCAAACACCAAUAUGCCAAGAUAUUCCAAUAUUGUAAACUGUGGGGAAGAUGCAACAAAAUGGAAUCUAACGAAGGCAAUCUAAAGUGCUGAAACAGGAGGCCAAUGAAUAGAAGAAACUCAGACUUUAUCCAGCCCAUUACUUGUCAGUAGGGAGGGGGGUCAUUCAAGUAGUAGCCUCCCUAUAAGCAGAGAGAAGGAGCACCAAUGUCUGCAAAGAAAAGCAACUUUCUAGUCCUCAUCACUGUGUGGAAAGAGCAUAAAACAGAGAAUAUUAACAAGGAAAUGCGGAAACCAGAAUGCAAUUUAAAAGGAACACACAAACACACACGUACAUAUAUUUUAAUACUUUCUUGGGGCUUUAAUUAAUAAAUUAGAACAUUUGGUAGCCAGAAGGACCGGCAUUAUUGAUAGGCAAUUCAGCCCGUAUGACAGGUGGUAGAAUUCAUUUUAUGUUCAAAAUAGACUGCUGAUCAGUGACGGAUGAAGCAAGGAAAGGAUUGUCUGUAGCCAGUUGAAGAAAUGAAUCAACUCCAAAACAAAAAGCAAGCAACACCCUUGUUCCCAAAAAUGGCUGGGAUCCAAGAUCUAUUGGGGCUCAUCCAAGAGUCUUGUGGCAUCCCAAUAUAAUUAUGAAGGUCCCCCCCCCCCUUUGAACACCUGCCAUUAGGUUUGUGUGCUUGUGUGUGUGUAUGUUAAAAUGCUUUUGAAACUUCUCAUAGUUUGUCCUGCAACAUGGGAAGGUCAGUUUUUCAAGGAAAAGCAUCUCUAACCAGAACAAGACAAAGAAAUGAGGUGUAUAGGCAGGAGGAGAAGGUCUCCCAUUGCAUGGCAUGGAAAAUAGUCUGAUGCAGUCCAGUGGACCAAAGUAACCAGCAGAGUUUGGGGCUAAGAGAUAGCAAGGAAUAGCCCCCCCCCAAAAAAAGAAUCUGCUUUGUGUGUCUUUCAAAGACAUGAAGCCAUAAUAAUAAUAUCUUAUUUAUACCCCGCCCUCCCCGGCCAAAGCCAGGCUCGGGGCGGCUAACACCAGUAAAAUUACAGUAAAAACAUAAGGGGGGGGGACCCAUUUAAAAUACAGGUGAAAAUGCAAUUUCAAAUGCAGCCUCAUUUUAAAAGUAGCCCAUAGAUCAAAACCAUAAGAGGAGGGAAAUAUAAGGGUCACACUGAGUCCAAACCAAAGGCCAGGCGGAACAGCUCUGUCUUGCAGGCCCUGUGGAAAGAUGUCAAGUCCCACAGGGCCCUAGUCUCUUGUGACAGAGCUUUCCACCAAGUCGGGGCCAGUACUGAAAAAGCCCUGGCUCUAGUUGAGACCAAUCUAACCACAUUGCUACCUGGGACCUCGAAAAUGUUGUCAUUUGUCGGCCUUAAGGUCCUCCGUGGGGCAUACCGUCCCCUAGGUAUGUGGGUCCUAGGACGCAUAGGGCUUCCAGGAAUAGAAUUUGCCCAACUUUCAAGUGAAAAAUCAUUUUUGCCAUAAUGUGGGUCCUAAAAAGGGGGCACACAUUCUCCCACUGUUGUUGUUGUUGUUAAAAUUUGAAUGCAGCCCUUCAUCUGAGGAUCACAGCGUGGUUUACAAUAUGAACACAUAAAAUAGUAGCAAACAAAACAACAACACCUCCCCCCCCCCCAGUUUAAAAGGUCCUAGAUUGUUUAAUGAGCCCAAGGCCUGGAGGAAGAGGAAAGUUUUUGCAUGACACCUAAGACAUGUGACCAAGGCACCAGGCGAGCCUCCCUGGGGAGAGCACUCCACAAAUGGGGAGCCACUGCAGAAAAAGCCUGUUCUCGGGUCUCCACCUUCCAAACCUCUCAUGGAGGGGGCACACAAAGAAAGGCCUCAGAUGAUGAUUGCAGGGUCUGGGUCGGUUCAUAUGGGGAGAGACACUCCUUGAGGCAGGGGAAGCACAAGCAGGAAGACAGGAAGUGCUCUGCCACUGCUGCCACUGCCAUCACCACCAACCACUUUUUUUUCUCUUUUAUGCUGGCUAAACAUUUGUUUUUCAGCAGACAAAGAUACUUUACUUAGUGAAGUUCUGUCAGACUCCUUCCUUUCCCCAGAGCUACAACUGUUUUGUACAAAGAUACGGCAACUUGGGCUUUCAGAGGAUCUUCUGGGUGCUGUGGCUUUUCCAACCACCAAGGCCAUGUUAAAACACUAGGCUGUAGGACAUAAAUUGCCAGGAACUAAUUUCAGCUGUGGAAAAACCAUGUUCCCCUCUUUAUUUUCGACUCUCUUGGAUGCAGGAAUUUAACCUCAAUUAUCUACAAUUUUUGUUUAACCCGCAAGAAAGAAGGGCUUUGUCGCUGGCUAGGUUCAAUUCUAAUCCUUCGAACCUCCUUUGGGGUAGGUUCACGGGUAUGGCCGAGGGAGAUAGGAUCUGCCCAUGUGAUGCCCAUCUGGUGGAAACUCUAGCUCACAUGGUCCUUAAAUGUAAAAUGUAUGAUGAUCUCUGCCAACAAUUCUUAGACCAACUAUGUAUCCCAAUAUGGAGACCAGAGACAGAGGUCAUACGCUUCUUAUUACAGGGGAGAGACCAAGAGCUCACCAAGACAGUAACUAAGUUCCUCUAUUUGAUUUUCUGCCACCGAAGUACGCUACAGGACCCUGCCCUUGCUGGAGACCCACAGAGGUGAAAUAGAUUGCUCACCUCUUCUUCCCUUUGGCAAAUGACUGUACUGUUGAAAUGGUGACGAGUUCACACUGGCCUAUUUGUUCUGAAUGUUUGUAAGUGAUGCCAAUAAAGGUUUGAUGAUGA